CAAUAAAUAGUUUAAUUAAAAUUUAAGUUUUGGGUACUUAAGAUAUGUGAAAAUAUUUUAUUGA
rnacentral:tRNA from 1 species